ACAGGCGGCAGCAGCUCUCUGCAACUCUCACAUGGUCGCUCACUGAAGCUAAGCAGGGCUGUGCUUGGCCAGUACCUGGAUGGGAGACCACAUGGGAAUGUUAGGUUGCUGCUGGAA
ensembl:rRNA 5S_rRNA 5S ribosomal RNA